rnacentral:rRNA from 1 species
CAGUAGGGAAUCUUCCACAAUGGGCGCAAGCCUGAUGGAGCAACGCCGCGUGAGUGAAGACGGCCUUCGGGUUGUAAAGCUCUGUCUGUCGGGACGAGGACCGCGGGGGGACCCGCGGGGGGACGGUACCGGCGGAGGAAGCCCCUGCAAACUACGUGCCAGCAGCCGCGGUAAGACGUAGGGGGCAAGCGUUGUCCGGAAUUACUGGGCGUAAAGGGCGUGUAGGCGGUCGCGUACGUAGCGGUUUUCAGCCGUCGGCUCACCCGACGGAGGGCGGCUAAACGGCGCGGCUGGAGGGCAGGAGAGGUGCAUGGAAUUCCUGGUGGAGCGGUGAAAUGCGUAGAGAUCAGGAAGAACACCGGUGGCGAAGGCGGUGCACUGGCCUGACCCUGACGCUGAGGCGCGACAGCGUGGGGAGCGAACGGGAUUAGAUACCCCGGUAGUCCACGCCGUAAACGAUGGAUACGAGGUGUCGCGGGGGUCCACCUCGCGGUGCCGGAGCUAACGCACUCAGUAUCCCGCCUGGGGAGUACGGCCGCAAGGUUGA